AUUGAACGCUGGCGGCAGGCUUAACACAUGCAAGUCGAGCGGGGUGAUGGUGCUUGCACUAUCACUUAGCGGCGGACGGGUGAGUAAUGCUUAGGAAUCUGCCUAUUAGUGGGGGACAACAUCUCGAAAGGGAUGCUAAUACCGCAUACGACCCACGGGAGAAAGCAGGGGAUCACUUGUGACCUUGCGCUAAUAGCUGAGCCUAAGUCGGAUUAGCUAGUUGGUGGGGUAAAGGCCUACCAAGGCGACGAUCUGUAGCGGGUCUGAGAGGAUGAUCCGCCACACUGGGACUGAGACACGGCCCAGACUCCUACGGGAGGCAGCAGUGGGGAAUAUUGGGCAAUGGGGGGAACCCUGAUCCAGCCAUGCCGCGUGUGUGAAGAAGGCCUUAUGGUUGUAAAGCACUUUAAGCGAGGAGGAGGCUCUUUUGGUUAAUACCCAAGAUGAGUGGACGUUACUCGCAGAAUAAGCACCGGCUAACUCUGUGCCAGCAGCCGCGGUAAUAC
rnacentral:rRNA from 1 species